rnacentral:rRNA from 1 species
GGCCGUCGUCAGUUCGUACUGUGAAGCAUCCUGUUAAGUCAGGCAACGAGCCGAGACCCACGCCAACAGUUGCCAGCUCGUCCUCCCGGGGAUGGUGGGGGCACUGUUGGGACCGCCUCUGCUAAAGAGGAGGAAGGAAUGGGCAACGGUAGGUCAGCAUGCCCCGAAUUAUCUGGGCUACACGCGGGCCACAAUGGGUGGGACAAUGGGUAUCGACACCGAAAGGUGAAGGCAAUCUCCUAAACCCAUCCGUAGUUCGGAUUGUGGGCUGCAACUCGCCCACAUGAAGCUGGAAUCUGUAGUAAUCGUGUCUCAAAAUGGCACGGUGAAUAUGUCCCUGCUCCUU